UACGGGGGGGGCAAGCGUUGUUCGGAAUUACUGGGCGUAAAGGGCUGGUAGGCGGCCAACUAAGUCGGAUGUGAAAUCCCCAGGCUUAACCUGGGAACUGCAUCCGAUACUGGUCGGCUUGAAUCCGGGAGAGGGAUGCAGAAUUCCAGGUGUAGCGGUGAAAUGCGUAGAUAUCUGGAGGAACACCGGUGGCGAAGGCGGCAUCCUGGACCGAUACUGACGCUGAGGAGCGAAAGCCAGGGGAGCAAACGGG
rnacentral:rRNA from 1 species